rnacentral:rRNA from 1 species
AAAUUGAAGAGUUUGAUCAUGGCUCAGAUUGAACGCUGGCGGCAGGCCUAACACAUGCAAGUCGAACGGUAACAGGAAGCAGCUUGCUGUUUCGCUGACGAGUGGCGGACGGGUGAGUAAUGUCUGGGAAACUGCCUGAUGGAGGGGGAUAACUACUGGAAACGGUGGCUAAUACCGCAUAACGUCGCAAGACCAAAGAGGGGGACCUUCGGGCCUCUUGCCAUCAGAUGUGCCCAGAUGGGAUUAGCUAGUUGGUGAGGUAACGGCUCACCAAGGCGACGAUCCCUAGCUGGUCUGAGAGGAUGACCAGCCACACUGGAACUGAGACACGGUCCAGACUCCUACGGGAGGCAGCAGUGGGGAAUAUUGCACAAUGGGCGCAAGCCUGAUGCAGCCAUGCCGCGUGUAUGAAGAAGGCCUUCGGGUUGUAAAGUACUUUCAGCGGGGAGGAAGGUGUUGUGGUUAAUAACCGCAGCAAUUGACGUUACCCGCAGAAGAAGCACCGGCUAACUCCGUGCCAGCAGCCGCGGUAAUACGGAGGGUGCAAGCGUUAAUCGGAAUUACUGGGCGUAAAGCGCACGCAGGCGGUCUGUCAAGUCGGAUGUGAAAUCCCCGGGCUCAACCUGGGAACUGCAUUCGAAACUGGCAGGCUUGAGUCUUGUAGAGGGGGGUAGAAUUCCAGGUGUAGCGGUGAAAUGCGUAGAGAUCUGGAGGAAUACCGGUGGCGAAGGCGGCCCCCUGGACAAAGACUGACGCUCAGGUGCGAAAGCGUGGGGAGCAAACAGGAUUAGAUACCCUGGUAGUCCACGCCGUAAACGAUGUCUACUUGGAGGUUGUGCCCUUGAGGCGUGGCUUCCGGAGCUAACGCGUUAAGUAGACCGCCUGGGGAGUACGGCCGCAAGGUUAAAACUCAAAUGAAUUGACGGGGGCCCGCACAAGCGGUGGAGCAUGUGGUUUAAUUCGAUGCAACGCGAAGAACCUUACCUGGUCUUGACAUCCACGGAAGUUUUCAGAGAUGAGAAUGUGCCUUCGGGAACCGUGAGACAGGUGCUGCAUGGCUGUCGUCAGCUCGUGUUGUGAAAUGUUGGGUUAAGUCCCGCAACGAGCGCAACCCUUAUCCUU